UACGGAGGGUGCAAGCGUUAUCCGGAUUCACUGGGUUUAAAGGGUGCGUAGGUGGGCUAGUAAGUCCGUGGUGAAAUCUCCAAGCUUAACUUGGAAACUGCCGUGGAUACUAUUAGUCUUGAAUAUUGUGGAGGUAAGCGGAAUAUGUCAUUGUAGCGGUGAAAUGCUUAGAUAUACAUAGAACACCGAUAGCGAAGGCAGCUUGCUACACAAUCAUUGACACUGAGCACGAA
rnacentral:rRNA from 1 species